CCUACGGGAGGCUGCAGUGAGGAAUAUUGGUCAAUGGACGCAAGUCUGAACCAGCCAAGCCGCGUGCAGGAAUAAGGCUCUAUGAGUUGUAAACUUCUUUUGUCCGAGGGCAAACGCAGGUUCGCGUACCUGUCUGAAAGUAUCGUACGAAAAAGGCUCGGCUAACUCCGUGCCAGCAGCCGCGGUAAUACGGAGGAUUCCAGCGUUAUCCGGAUUUAUUGGGUUUAAAGGGUGCGGAGGCCGUCGGAUAAGUGAGAGGGUAAAUCCCGAGGCUCAACUUCCGAAUUGCCUUUGAUACUGUUGGGCUAGAGAGUAGGUGCGGUAGGCGGAAUGUAUGGUGUAGCGGUGAAAUGCUUAGAGAUCACACAGAACACCGAUUGCGAAGGCAGCUUACCAGCCUACUUCUGACGCUGAGGCACGAAAGCGUGGGGAGCGAACAGGAUUAGAUACCCCAGUAGUC
rnacentral:rRNA from 1 species